rnacentral:rRNA from 1 species
AACGAACGCUGGCGGCAGGCUUAACACAUGCAAGUCGAGCGCCCCGCAAGGGGAGCGGCAGACGGGUGAGUAACGCGUGGGAAUCUACCCAUCUCUACGGAAUAACGCAUGGAGACGUGUGCUAAUACCGUAUACGUCCUUCGGGAGAAAGUUUUAUCGGAGAUGGAUGAGCCCGCGUUGGAUUAGCUAGUUGGUGGGGUAAAGGCCUACCAAGGCGACGAUCCAUAGCUGGUCUGAGAGGAUGAUCAGCCACACUGGGACUGAGACACGGACCAGACUCCUACGGGAGGCAGCAGUGGGGAAUAUUGGACAAUGGGCGCAAGCCUGAUCCAGCCAUGCCGCGUGAGCGAUGAAGGCCCUAGGGUUGUAAAGCUCUUUCACCGGUGAAGAUAAUGACGGUAACCGGAGAAGAAGCCCCGGCUAACUUCGUGCCAGCCGCCGCCGUAAGAC